UACGGAGGGUGCAAACGUUAUCCGGCAUCACUGGGUUUAAAGGGUGCGUAGGCGGCUGUAUAAGUCAGAGGUGAAAGCCCGGAGAUUAACUUCGGAACUGCCUUUGAUACUGUAUAGCUUGAAAUAGGUUGAGGUCAGCGGAAUGUGGCAUGUAGCGGUGAAAUGCAUAGAUAUGCCAUAGAACACCAAUUGCGAAGGCAGCUGGCUGGACCUUAUUUGACGCUGAGGCACGAAAGCGUGGGGAGCGAACAGG
rnacentral:rRNA from 1 species